GCAAAGAAGAAGGACAAGAAGGAGAAGAAAGAGAAGAAGGAGAAAAAGCAGAAUUCAUAGUUUGCGUUAUAUUCAAUAUGCAUGUCAUCAUUUAAAAAAUAUUAUUAAAUCGUUCGUCGUCUGUGUUUAAUCCUCAGAA
rnacentral:ribozyme from 1 species